UACGGAGGGUGCAAGCGUUAUCCGGAUUUAUUGGGUUUAAAGGGUCCGUAGGCGGAUCUGUAAGUCAGUGGUGAAAUCUCACAGCUUAACUGUGAAACUGCCAUUGAUACUGCAGGUCUUGAGUAAAGUAGAAGUGGCUGGAAUAAGUAGUGUAGCGGUGAAAUGCAUAGAUAUUACUUAGAACACCAAUUGCGAAGGCAGGUCACUAUGUUUUUAACUGACGCUGAUGGACGAAAAGCGUGGGGAGCGAACAGG
rnacentral:rRNA from 1 species